AAAAGUCGGGACGCUUAAUCGACUGAGCCACCCACGCAUCCUUUAUGCGGAUAAUUUUAAGUAAAAAACAAAUAUUAGCCCCCCACCCCCCCCCCCCCCGCAACAGACCCUGGAAAGAAGCCCCCAAACUCCAAACCCAAAACAAGCCAGCACCAACACACAAAAAUCUGACAAACUUUGCUCUUCUGGUAAUCACACUGAAAAGUACAUAGCAAAGCUUAGACCAAGAGAACGCGCCAAAGUUGAAAAAGCUCAUCUGCGACCAGCCAAUAACAUGCCAGAAUGUUCUUUGGCCCCCGACGUGGGGUGGGGGGUGUUGUUUCGCUGGUGCUCCAGACGCCCCUACGGUUUCUUCGGAGCCUCGUCUACACCUGCGACACUAAGGUUUGUGAAGUCACUCGAGUCUCAUGAAGGAUUUAGUUGCACUGCGUUGCCGUGAACGCUUGGAUUUGGACGCAAGGCUCACGACUGCCUUCUGGAUUUUCCAUGGUAGGGUGAAAAAAAAAAAUGCGCGACACACAUCACCAAGAAUCCAUGUCUGUGCCUGGCAGUGUAAUCGAGAAAAGCUUUGGAAUGCGAGUGGACGGCAUUAUGAAUAGCUUUCCUUAGCGCACCUGCAGAAAGGCACUACCAUUAGACACACCUUUGCCAAGCGCGUGUGCGUAAGGCACAGUGUUAGACGGAUGUGAAAAAUGGGUGGGUGAUGCCUUUGUAGAAGAUUCUCCCAGGACUCUGAUGGGCUGAUGUUUAGAGAUGCCCAUACAGCCUCCGGGCGCUAAGAAGAUGACAGCCGGGGCCCGAUAUCAGCCCAUGAAAUAUUUUCAUCAUCAGGAUGAAGAAAAUUAUUUUGCACCGUUUCUGUUGUUCGGAAGUGGAAACAUUUUCGGGUGUGAAUCCCCCAAGGGACUUUCUGUGGCCUCCCUACCUCUUAUCCGGGAUUGUGCAGUAGGGAGUCAGAAACGCCAUGGGAAGAAGUCGUUCUCUGGGCAGUCGUCUCUGCCCAUGUUACGGAAGACGGCAAAAAUCCGAGCCAUCACGCAUCUGGCCAAUUAUGCAAUGUUCCGUCGCGAGGGGAAAUUCCUUCCUCACCCCAGCUGGUGAACAGUUAUGCCCUGGAGCCCAGGACGGCCAUGCCUUGUAACUUUUUAACCUAGUUAGUGUAACUGCCAAUAUUAUUCCUAUUCAUAUAAAUGUCUAAUCCUUUCUUGAAUCUUGCUAGACUUAUUUGCCUCAAUAAUACCCUGCGGCAGUGAAUUCCACAGGUAGAUUAUACGCUGUUUUAAGAAGUAUUUCCUUUUUUUUUUUCAUUUUAAAUUUGUUACCUUUUAACGUCACAGGAUGGCCCUUGUGCUUGCAUGAAGGGGCCCGGGGUCCAGGCGUUUCAAGUUCUGCUUUAAUUUUUCCAAGCGCUUCGCCAUCAUCAGAACUCUGUCUUCGUCAGGUAUUUUCGGUUUUGGUGUAUCCGAUCUUGAUUAAACGAGAUGAUUGAUGUGAAUAGUCUCAUAUGGCUUUGGCACAUAGCAGGCACCGGAAAAAAGCUCUCCUUGGUAUUCAUUCCACUUAUUGGACAGCUUUUUUUUUUUUUGAGUACCUACUGUGUGCAGGAAUCAUUGUAAGUAUUGGAGAGACAGCGUUGAAUGAGACAGGGUCCUUGUUUGAAGGACCCAAUUUCCUAGAGAAGAUGAGCAGCGACAUAGUGGACAAAGAUGAACGGCAGGGUCCCCAGUCGUCGUAAGUACUACGGGAAAAUUAGAGAAGAGUGGUUGGCAGAGGAUGGAAGGGGCCCCAUGAGAUUGCACCGUCAGGGAGUAACUCACUGAAAAGGGGCCGGUUGAGCUGGCCCUCAAGGAAGCAUCGGUGUGAAAUCUCCAUGAAGGUGAACCCACGCUCCCAGACAAUGCCUGGCAGGAGGUGCCGUCUGUCUGGCGUGUCGCAGGGCCGUGGCCCCUGGUGUGCCCAACGCCCAGCAUCUCCGUCGGAUACAGUUUUGACAUCUUCGCGGUGAGGCCUCGUCCACACCCGCGGACUUUCGGGCGGGAUAUGUUGCUCAGCUGCCCACCUUGGUCUGGAUGAAACCGGAUGAUAUUAGGAUCUGGAGCCAUAAUAGCACAUCAAGAAGACAGCAGAAAUGCCUGUUAUUGACCUGAAUUAGGAUAAAAGGAAAAGAGAAGAUAAGAUCAUAGCCGUCGGCGCUCUGUUUAUGAAAACAUCAUUUUGAGGAUGAGCUUGAAUCAGACAAAAGGUCUAUAUUAAUAUGGAGAAAUGCAUUGACCAUCAGUGUUAAGGAACAUCUCUCACUGGUGACUAAGAAAAUAAUCAAUCCUAUAGCAAGUACCAACUGGAGACACAAAGAUGGUGGCAUUGACUCUGCUCUCAAGGAACUCCCGGAAGGAGACAGAAGAAGAAUCAACACAGAGAGUUGUAUACCACGGAGCAAAUGAAACAGCCCCCCAUUACUGAGCGCUAACAGGACAGCGUUGCUCAAUGGAUUUGAUCGACAAAACCCUUUCGCGAAGGAUAAUCUUAGAGAAUUAGCGUUUCAAGGAGUAAACUUUCGGAAGCAUGGAUUCAAAUGUUUUAAGAUGGCAAACACCUGUGGGCACAAGAACACUUUACCCCAAACGCCAUCAGGUUCUUAAGUGAAAAAAAAAAAUCCUGAGGGAGCAGACGACGAUUUUGCAGCAAUCACUAUCUGCUAAACUAUAUUAAAGUUGCAUCGGCUCUACUUGUCCUCAAAGAUUGGAAGUCAUAUAAAGGGUGAGUCUCUCUAGCUGAAGACAUCUACUGAAGAGAGUCCAGCUAAUUACAUGCAAGGAUUAACUUCUCAAGUACCCAGAAAAAGGGUGUUGUUUUAUCCAGUUCAGGGAAGACACGGCUUCUUCAUUAACUGCUAAGGUGACGGUGAUGCUGCGGAAAGAAGUCAUACAGGUUUACAGGAUGCACUGACCGUCCAACUGUCCAGAAUCGUCCCCAGUAAGGAACCCUCCCAAAGGCUGAGCCACGUGAAGUCUAAAGAGGAAUCACCGUCAUUCGGAAAACUCGGAUCAGCUUCCUUCUGCGUUGCCUGAACAUCGGUGUCAUCUGGGUAAAGUGUUUUGAAGAAAAUUUAUGCCUCCUCACAAAGAAACAGCUGUGCAUCGCCACAGUCACUAACUUUUGAAAGAUGUUACAGGAAGGUGUUCAUUUCAAGUCAGUUGCUUCAGCUAUAGCUUUCCCUUCAUGUUUUAAUAUCAUGGCGUCUCCUUCUGGUCCCCUAAGUGUUACCUGGUUUCUCUGGAGGAGUGGGGGAACCCAGGACCCAUAAGUUAUGGCUCCUAUUAAGAGGGUUGGCUGGAUGGGCGGACAAUGUGUCAAUAAUUAUUUCUGGCGGGGCCUUAACAGCAGAGGAAGUGCCUCUGUAGAGUGGCUUAUAUUAACAGAAGACAGAUAUGCCUGACCCGGGUUUUAUGACAGAUGUCAAAUAUAUCGAAGUGUGUCGUGAAGCAGAUCGUCUUAUUGGCAAAGACAUGAAAGACCACCAGGAAGAUGGAUGGGAAGCUUUCCUCAAGGGGUUUCCCGUCUCCUCGCGCAGGUGGGUGGAUCCAGCACCGGGUGUUGGGCUUGGUGGAAGCUGGAUCUCACUUCACACAGUGCUGGGCACAACGUGCAUCCUGGCGAUACCACAAAGAACAAGGUUAAGAAAGCCGAUCUUGUGCGUUGGCUAGGUUUUACCCAUCAUCACCUGGGCUUUUCACCACGACUGCCUACAAACAAGAGAUUCUGUCAGAGGGGAAGUGGGAGCCGACUGGUUUCAUUCGUUGUCAUCCUCUGAGCCGGCUGCCAAGGUGGUUAAAGGCUUUCUCUACGGAACAGAAAAGGCAAACCUCCCUCGAAGGGAAAAGCAGGAUCUUGUCUCACGUAAGAGACAGGAACAGGGUCCGCCGCAUCCUCGAAAAGGAUUCGAUGCAACUCUUUGGAAAUUAACUUCCUCAGAGCCAAGGAGAGCUAGACUGUUUCUCAGUGGAUUGUGUCCUGCAGUGAGUAGUAAGGAAGCUGCCAUUCCUCUUGGGAUACCUCAUUGGGUACCAUAUACUUCCGGGCGAGGGCGUGGACUCCUUGGGCGUCCAACAUUGUGCCUUGUGCACACUAGUGCCUUCCACUGAUGAGUUGUAUCUGGGGCUGACAAGUAUAUGGCUUCCUCUUUUGGAGACGACCGUCCCCUCCCAGGGAGGUGCUGAUGAGGUUGGGGGUGGGGAGGAAUAAGCCUACCGCUAGGUCGAUUAGAUGACAGAAUCUAGCCUCUUGAGUUAGAGCGGGGCCUUUGGUACCUCUCCCGGGGGAGAUAACAGCCCUUUAUCUCAGCUGUCACCCCCUACAGCUGCAUGUUCUUGCAAGUCGAUUUGACCGGUCAUGAGAAAUUUUGUAACACAUAUGCAUCCACACCUGCCAUCUCUAAGGUACUGAAUGAGAAUACGACGAAAUGGACCUGCAAUCGACAUUGGGUGAGUUGCUGCCAUACGCUAGGUACUCCAGAUGCAAAUAUAAAAGGGCCUAAUAACCUCGUUGGGAAGGGGAGCCUGUGAACAAAUGCGUGAGAUGUUAGAAUGAUGGCCCACAGCGGAGCAGCACGGAGGAGUGGCUUGAGGAGAACUUGAGAGCAGUGCUAACGUUUGAGCUGGGUCUUGAAGUUAUUAGGAAAAGUUCUUCAGAUCGAAACAUCGGGGAACAUACCUUCUGUUCUGAAGGGGCUUCGUGUUUAACUCGACAAAAUGAGUACGUGUUCGCCUCGGAAGGAGCCAUGAGCAUGGCUAAUUGGUAAUUGGUUGAGGAAGAUGGUGAAUCAUGCGGCUGAGCUGGCAUGGCAGUGAAUGUCUCUGGUAGGACGGUAUUUUCUCAAGCUAUCCUUCGAAGAACACUGGUUCCGUGAGGUGGUAAUUGGUAUUGUUUGUGAAAACAGGGAGUUUUAAGGCCAAAUACAAGGUAGGGAAGGCGGGGUUAGGCUGUUGGAUGGGGUUCUUUCCUGCAGGACUUCUCAGGGCCUUUAAUAUAUGACUCUGCCUUAUACAUUUCCAAGAGCUUGUCUUUUUUUUUUUUUUUUAACUUCUUAACGUUUAUUUAUUAUUGAGAGACAGAGGGAGACGGGGCAUGA